GGGAUUAGUGGCGAACGGGUGAGUAACACGUGGGCAAUCUGCCCUUCACUCUGGGACAAGCCCUGGAAACGGGGUCUAAUACCGGAUACUGACCCUUGCAGGCAUCUGCGAGGUUCGAAAGCUCCGGCGGUGAAGGAUGAGCCCGCGGCCUAUCAGCUUGUUGGUGAGGUAAUGGCUCACCAAGGCGACAACGGGUAGCCGGCCUGAGAGGGCGACCGGCCACACUGGGACUGAGACACGGCCCAGACUCCUACGGGAGGCAGCAGUGGGGAAUAUUGCACAAUGGGCGAAAGCCUGAUGCAGCGACGCCGCGUGAGGGAUGACGGCCUUCGGGUUGUAAACCUCUUUCAGCAGGGAAGAAGCGAAAGUGACGGUACCUGCAGAAGAAGCGCCGGCUAACUACGUGCCAGCAGCCGCGGUAAUACGUAGGGCGCAAGCGUUGUCCGGAAUUAUUGGGCGUAAAGAGCUCGUAGGCGGCUUG
rnacentral:rRNA from 1 species